CGCGCAGCUUUCAGUGAUGGAUGUCUUGCUCGAACAACGAUGAGGGCGCAGUGAAUGUGCGAUAGAGCACUGUGAUAGCAGGACUCCGCGAGCAGCAAGGACUUGAAUGCGCUCUGGCUUUCGGAUAUCCCU
rnacentral:rRNA from 1 species